UACGGGGGGGGCAAGCGUUGUUCGGAAUUACUGGGCGUAAAGGGCGCGUAGGCGGUCAGCACAAGUCAGUUGUGAAAUCUCCGGGCUUAACUCGGAAAGGUCAACUGAUACUGUGCGACUAGAGUGCAGAAGGGGCAACUGGAAUUCCCAGUGUAGCAGUGAAAUGCGUAGAUAUUGGGAGGAACACCAGUGGCGAAGGCGGCUCGCUGGACCGGUUCUGACGCUGAUGCGCGAAAGCGUGGGGAGCAAACGGG
rnacentral:rRNA from 1 species